UUGAGAUUAUUAUUAUUAUUAUUUGCAUAUUAAAGAUAUUCAUGUGAGCUAUUCAUAAUAAAUGUUCUCUAAUUCAGUUUCAGGUUCUGCUGCUAAUAUCUCUGCUAGCAUCAAUUCAAUUCCAAUGUUAAAUGGCACAAACUUCAGGGCAUGGCAAGAGAACGUUAUGAUUGUUCUCGGAGUCAUGGACCUAGACCUUGCUUUACGGGUCGAUCAACCUGCUGCAAUUACUGAUAAGAGUACCUCUGAUGACAAGAGGGAGAUGGAAAAGUGGGAACGAUCGAACCGCAUAAGCUUAAUGGUCAUGAAGCGUGCUAUUCCAGAAGCAUUCCGGGGCACUAUGUCCGAUAAGGUGACUACGGCUAAGGGUUUCCUUGAGGACCUUGAGAAGAGGUUUGCCAAGAAUGAAAAGGCUGAAACAAGUACACUUUUGGCAAAUCUUGUCUCAAUGAGGUAUAAAGGGAAAGGAAACAUUCGGGAGUACAUUAUGGAAAUGUCUCAUAUUGCUUCAAAACUAAAGGCACUCAAGUUGGAUUUAUCUGAAGACUUGUUAGUGCACUUGGUUCUGAUAUCCCUUCCGGCACAUUUCAGUCAAUUUAAGGUGAGCUAUAACUGUCAAGAGGACUCAUGGUCCCUUAAUAAGCUCAUCUCACACUGUGUCCAGGAAGAGGAAAGACUGAAGCAUGAAAAGACAGAAAGUGCUCAUUUAGCCACCACCUCUAAGGACAAAAGCAACAAGAAAAUGAAGAUUAAUAAGGAAGCUGCAGGUACGGCACCGCAAAAGAAACAGCAUAAGGAACCAACUGAAGGCGGUUGUUUCUUCUGUGGAGCUGCAGGUCAUAAGAAGAAGAAUUGCACCAAUUACCACGCAUGGCGUGUAAAGAAAGGUACUCUUCUUCAUUUGGUUUGUUCUGAGGUUAAUUUAACUUCGGUACCUAGACAUACAUGGUGGAUAGAUUCUGGUGCAACAACUCACAUCAGUAUGUCUAUGCAGGGUUGCCUGAG
rnacentral:lncRNA from 1 species